AGACGGUAGGGUAUUGGCCUACCGUGGCAAUGACGGGUAACGGGGAAUUAGGGUUCGAUUCCGGAGAGGGAGCCUGAGAAACGGCUACCACAUCUAAGGAAGGCAGCAGGCGCGCAAAUUACCCAGUCCCAAUACAGGGGGGUAGUGACAAGAAAUAACAAUACAGGACUUUUUGGUUUUGUAAUUGGAAUGAGUUAAGUAUAAACCCCUUUACAAGUAUCAAUUGGAGGGCAAGUCUGGUGCCGGCAGCCGCGGUAAUUCCAGCUCCAAUAGCGUAUAUUAAAGUUGUUGCAGUUAAAAAGCUCGUAGUUGGAUUUCUGUUAAUAAUUUAUAUAAAAUAUUUUGAAUAUUUAUAUAACAUUAACAUAAUUCAUAUUACUAUAUUUUUUAGUAUAUGAAAUUUUACUUUGAGAAAAUUAGAGUGCUUAAAGCAGGCAUAUGCCUUGAAUACUCCAGCAUGGAAUAAUAUUAAAGAUUUUUAUCUUUCUUAUUGGUUCUAAGAUAAGAAUAAUGAUUAAUAGGGACAGUUGGGGGCAUUUGUAUUUAACAGUCAGAGGUGA
rnacentral:rRNA from 1 species